AUACGUAGGGGGCGAGCGUUGUCCGGAAUGAUUGGGCGUAAAGGGCGCGUAGGCGGCGCGGUAAGUCUGGAGUGAAAGUCCUGCUUUCAAGGUGGGAAUUGCUUUGGAUACUGCCGCGCUUGAGUGCAGGAGAGGUUAUCGGAAUUCCCGGUGUAGCGGUGAAAUGCGUAGAGAUCGGGAGGAACACCAGUGGCGAAGGCGGGUAACUGGACUGCAACUGGCGCUGAGGCGCGAAAGUGUGGGGAGCAAACAGGAUUAGAUACCCUGGUAGUCCACACUAUAAACGAUGAAUGCUAGGUGUAAGAGGUAUCGACCCCUUUUGUGCCGGAGUUAACACAAUAAGCAUUCCGCCUGGGGAGUACGGCCGCAAGGCUGAAACUCAAAUGAAUUGGCGGGU
rnacentral:rRNA from 1 species